rnacentral:lncRNA from 1 species
GGAGAAGGACUCUUAAUGCAAAGAGUCGCAUGACUUUUCUCACUUGCACGUGCGGCUUCAUUCCAAUAAAUUCUCCAUGCCAAAAUGAGUCUAGAAAAAUACAUCUCAUGCUUUAAGAUGUAUCCCAGAGGAUGGAGGGUGAUGUGCAUUGCCACACAUAUCUUAAAACCAAGGUAGAAGGAUUCAUUCCUUCUCCUCAUGUUAAAAUGCACGCAC